UGAGGUGAUCUUGAAACUGCUCCUUGCAUGGAACACCCAAUUGAAAUUCCACUCCUGCGCAUGGCAAGCUGCAGGUGACCGUGCAGAGCUCAUCGGCAGAGGUGACCAUGAUGGAGUCCAAGAAUCGCAAAAGAGCUCCAGCAUGGACCAAACGGGAGGUACGGGAUCUGAUCGCUGUAUGGGGAGAGGAAUCUGUGCUAUCAGAACUACGUUCCAGUUUUUGAAAUGCCAAAACAUUUGUCAAAAUCUCCCAGGGCAUGAAGGACAGAGGCCAUAACAGGGACCCGAAGCAGUGCCGAGUGAAACUUAAGGAGCUGAGGCAAGCCCACCAGAAAACCAGAGAGGCAAACAGCCGCUCCAGUCAGAGCCCCAAACAUGCCGCUUCUAUGAUGAGCUGCAUGCCAUUUUAGGGGGUUCAGCCACCACUACCCCAGUCGUGUUGUUUGACUCCUUCAAUGGAGAUGGAGGCAACACGGAAGCAGGUUUUGGGGACGAGGAAGAUAGCACACAGCAAGCAAGCGGAGAAACCAGUUUUCCCGACAGCCAGGAACUGUUUCUCACCUUGGAUCUGGAGCCAGUACCCCCCGAACCCACCCAAGGCUGCCUCCUGGACCCGCCAGGCGGAGAAGGGACCUCCACUGCAUGUGUUUCAAGGAUCACAGGAUCUUCUCCUUCCCAGAGGCUAAUGAAGAUUAGAAGGUGAAAAAAACACACUCACGAUGAAAUGUUCUCUGAGCUCAUGCUGUCCACCCACACUGACAGAGCACAGAUGAAUGCGAGGAGGCAGACAAUGUCAGAGUACAGAAAAGCACAAAAUGACCGGGAGGAGAGAUGGUAGGCUGAGGAGAGUAAGUGGUGGGCUGAAGAGAGGGCUGAAGCUGAAAGGUGGCAGCAGCAUGAUGAGAGGAGGCAGGAUUCAAUGCUGAGGCUGCUGGAGGAUCAAACUAAUAUGCUCCAGCAUAUGGUUGAGCUGCAGGAAAGGCAGCUGGAGCACAGACCACCGCUACAGCCCCUGUGUAACCAACCGCCCUCCUCCCCAAGUUCCAUAGCCUCCUCACCCAGAAGCCUAAGAACACGGUGGGGGGGCCUCCGGCCACCCAGCCACUCCACCCCAGAGGGUUGCCCAAGCAACAGAAGGCUGGCAUUCAAUAAGUUUUAAAGUUUUAAACUUUUAAAGUGCUGUGUGGCCUUGUCCUUCCCUCCUCCACCAACCCUCCCAGUGCUUCUCUCCUCCACCACCCCA